rnacentral:misc_RNA from 1 species
UACGGGAGUGGCAAGCGUUAUCCGGAAUUAUUGGGCGUAAAGCGUCCGCAGGCGGCCUUGUAAGUCUGUCGUUAAAGCGUGGAGCUCAACUCCAUUUCGGCGAUGGAAACUACAAGGCUUGAGUGUGGUAGGGGCAGAGGGAAUUCCCGGUGUAGCGGUGAAAUGCGUAGAUAUCGGGAAGAACACCAGUGGCGAAGGCGCUCUGCUGGGCCAUCACUGACGCUCAUGGACGAAAGCCAGGGGAGCGAAAGGG